GGGGGUGUCGUCUAAGUGGCAAGGAUCGCUGGCUUUCAAUCAGCGGAUGCGGGAUCGUGCCCCGCCGCCCCUACCA
rnacentral:tRNA from 1 species